CAUCAGUAUAGUCAUUCAUAACACUGACCUCACGGCUUUGGGACUCUCAUGAGAAUUCAACUUCUGCAUAGUUGGAAAUUGAGGCAUGAUGGGUUCGAUCUUUAUGUCAUUACUCCUCCGACCGCUUACAAUUUCCGGCACAACCAUCCCAUAGCUGUAUGUGUCAACCUUCUCGGAUAAUUGCCCAUGGAUUGCAUAUUCAGGUGCCAUAUAAAGAUACGGCAUGGCAACUGUGGUGCUGAGAUGGCUCCAGUCAGCUGGCAGAAACCUUGACAGACCGAAAUCUGCAAUCCUAGGCUGGAAGUCAUCACCAAGAAGUAGAUUACUGGAUUUUAUGUCUCGGUGUAUGAUGGAAAUAUGAAUUCCUCGUGCAUAUAUGCAAGACCAUGAG